AUGAAGGAGCGCUGGUUCUGCUCCACACAGACACAAGUCAUGGGUUACCACCAGCUGCCGCGAGACGAUUCCAGCAGAAAUGUCCAAAGAUCCCUCGUAUUCUGCCGGGUUUAUGUCAGCACCCCAGCCUCGGCCACGCCAGCACUAGGGGACGCCAAGAGGACCAAUCGCGGAGAAGGGCGCGUCAUCGCCAAGCCAACUAGGAUCAAGCAUCCCAACAGAAGAUUCGUGGGCCCUGAAUGGGAGAUCGAUAGCCUAACAACAUGUGAGCGCGCCGCCAUCGCCGAUGCUCGAUCCGCCUCCAUCCUCAAGGCGCUCGACGCGCAGACCACGCGGAUCGACGCCCUCGCCGCAUGGAAGCCCGAUCUCGAGGCGCGCUUCGCGCAGCUCGAGCUCUCGGUCGCCGCGUUGCAAGCCGCAUCGUCCCCCGCGGCGACAACAUCAAGUGGAGUGCCUCGCACUCCGUCGUUGUUCACGACUCCGGGCGAUCUCCACGGGCAAUCCGGCCACGGCAGGUCGCAUCUUCCCGGGGGAUUUCCGUCGGUGACCGUCGAGUCGCCGGCGGGGCCUCCGGUCACGGCUACGGUCGCUAUUCCCCCCGUCAUGUCCGCACCUCUCCUUACAGCCAUGGGUCACCAGCCACCCACCAUGGUGUUCCCUGUCUUCUUGGAGACAAUCCUCAAACUGACACAUCCCUACUUUUUCUUGACUCGAUUUAUCGAGGGGCUUCGACCGGAUAUACGAGCGGUGGUACUACUGCAACGUCCACCGGAUUUGGACACGGCUUGUUCAUUGGCCUUACUCCAGGAAGAAGUGGCUGAGGGCGAGGCCCUGUCAAACAAUUCCAAGGCACGAGCUCAUACAAGUGGCACGUUCUCGCGAGCUUUUCCGUCAUUUUCAGCACCUUCUCAACCUGCCUUCAGCAGGCCAGCAACACCUACAGCUACUGCCGAAGACCGUCGAGGAACAGAUGCAGCAAGGGCAAGUUUAGAUAACAGCAAACUGUCAGCGUUGUGUGCGUUCAGGCGCGCCCGAGGCCUUUGCUUUAAGUGUGGCGAAAGGUGGGGCAAGGAUGACACAUGCCCAACCACGGUGCAGAUGCAUAUUGUCAAAGAAUUGCUCGCACUAUUCAGUACCGAUGACAAUGUGCUGGGUGAUAGACAGGCAGACUGUGCUGAACCAGAGGACGACAAUCUUUGCAUUCUGUCCAUACAUGCAGUGUCAGGGUCAGAAGGUCCAGGUGUAAUGCAGUUACAUGCGUGGCUUCAAGGGAGUGAGGUGUUGUUGCUAGUAGACUCUGGGAGCACUUCUUCUUUUGUGGAUCAACAGUUGGCCAAUCGUCUGACUGGAAUAUCCCCCUUGCCUCAACCAUGCAAGGUUAAGGUGGCUGAUGGAGGGCUCUUGCUGUGUGACAGUUUCAUUCCACACUGUCAGUGGACGUGUCAAGACCGCGAAUUCGUUACAGAUUUCAAGAUCAUUUCCUUGGGGGUGUAUGACGCAAUCUUAGGUAUGGAUUGGCUCAAGAAACACAGUCCUAUGUACAUUGAUUGGGAGGCGCACCACUUGUCAGUUACCACGGCUGCUGGACCAGUUGAACUUCAAGCAGUCACCAAGAACCUGCAGCAGUGCUCAGUUAUUUCAUCCCAAGAGCUGUUAACUUCCUGCAAAAACGGAGCAGUAGCUUAUGUGGUACACCUUAACACUGUUGCAGAUCAGGCUUCUGCCGACAACAGCAUCCCCACUGAACUACUCCGACAAUGGCGUCCAUACUUGCACACGGAGGAGUUUCUGAUCCGCACUGAUCAACGUAGCUUGGUCCAUCUCGAUGAUCAGCGGCUAUCGACAGUUUGGCAGCAGAAAGCAUUUACUAAAUUGCUCGGCUUACGUUACAAGAUUUGUUACAGACAGGGUACUACCAAUAGUGCUGCUGACGCUCUCUCCCGGCGUAUCCACUCUAACGAACAACUAGCAGCCAUUUCUGUCUGCCAACCUGCUUGGAUCAAUGAUAUCCGUGCCAGUUAUGACAACAAUGCACAAACUAUGGUUGGGAGGAUCUCCUACUAUACAACAAAAGACCUGAAAGAAUGGCUCGAAGAGCGCCAGAUGAUGCAGAUUGUUUUGAAGCAACAUUUGCAUCGAGCAAGGCACAUUAUGAAGGUCCAAGCUGACAAGAAACGCAUGGAGCGCUCAUUCAAAACAGGGGAUUCAGUCUUUGUCAAACUGCAACCAUAUGUGCAGACAUCGGUGGCAAAAAGGGCUAACCACAAACUGGCAUUCAGAUACUUUGGGCCAUUUUCAGUCAAACGAGCUAUCAAUCCAGUGGCUUAUGAGCUGAACUUGCCAACAGACUCCAGGAUCCACCCUGUUUUUCAUGUUUCUCAACUGAAGCAAGUCUUGGCUCCAGGUACGGCUGUCUCUUCGAGCUUACCAGUUCCUUCUGACAACUCUCUUGUCCCAGUGGAAAUCUUGAAUAGCCGAUGGCGCCACACACCCUCUGGCCGUCGCGAGCAAUUCCUGGUCCGAUGGUCUGAUCCUGACAUUCUCGACGCCACUUGGGAAGCUGCUCUUUCCCUCCGCCACCGCUUUCCUCAGUUACCGGCUUGGGGGCAAGCCGCAAGUCAAGGAGGAGGGGAUGUCAGCACCCCAGCCUCGGCCACGCCAGCACUAGGGGACGCCAAGAGGACCAAUCGCGGAGAAGGGCGCGUCAUCGCCAAGCCAACUAGGAUCAAGCAUCCCAACAGAAGAUUCGUGGGCCCUGAAUGGGUGAGCUCUACUUAA
rnacentral:rRNA from 1 species